rnacentral:lncRNA from 1 species
AUCCCUUUAGACCCGGUUCACACUGAAGCUGGCAUCCGUCACCGACGUCAUCGGAAAUCAAAAAAAAAUCAUGGGGAAAGGGGGAGAUGAAGCUGUAUUCGACUAGAAUAGGGGAACCUUGUUUCGAGUCGAUCCAUGGCUGAUGAAGGGAGAAGAAUUGGGAUGAGGCACAUCAACGAGGCCCGACCUUAGUCGAGGG